CCAAGAGACUUUAAGUUAAGCUUGAAACUAAUAGCCUUCAAAGUUAUAAAUAUCUAAGAUCUGGUAAGUCUUA
rnacentral:tRNA from 1 species